UACGUAGGGUGCAGGCGUUAAUCGGAAUUACUGGGCGUAAAGCGUGCGCAGGCGGUCUUUUAAGUCAGAUGUGAAAUCCCCGGGCUUAACCUGGGAACUGCGUUUGAAACUGGAAGGCUAGGGUGUGGCAGAGGGGGGUGGAAUUCCACGUGUAGCAGUGAAAUGCGUAGAGAUGUGGAGGAGCACCGAUGGCGAAGGCAGCCCCCUGGGCUAACACUGACGCUCAUGCACGAAAGCGUGGGGAGCAAACAGG
rnacentral:rRNA from 1 species